GAAUUUUGGACAAUGGGCGAAAGCCUGAUCCAGCAAUGCCGCGUGCAGGAUGAAGGCCUUCGGGUUGUAAACUGCUUUUGUACGGAACGAAAAGCUUUGGGUUAAUACCCUGGAGUCCUGACGGUACCGUCAGACAACGCACCGGCUAACCACGUGCCAGCAGCCGCGGUAAUACGUAGGGUGCACGCGGUAAUCCGAAUUACUGGGCGUAAAGCGUGCGCAGGCGGUUUUGUAAGACAGAGGUGAAAUACCCGGGCUCAACCUGGGAACUGCCUUUGUGACUGCAAGGCUAGAGUACGGCAGAGGGGGGUGGAAUUCCGCGUGGAGCAGUGAAAUGCGUAGAUAUGCGGAGGAACACAGAUGGCGAAGGCAACCCCCUGGGCCUGUACUGACGCUCAUGCACGAAAGCGUGGGGAGCAAACA
rnacentral:rRNA from 1 species